rfam:Leminorella grimontii ATCC 33999 = DSM 5078 strain ATCC 33999 GLGR.assembly.08, whole genome shotgun sequence.
CUUGACCGCCGCAUAGGCGGCUUAGAAA